AUUUUGAGACGAUAGCAGCCCUGUCCAACAAUGGAUAUGAGUGUGCAAUAUACCAUCUAAAGCUAAGUGUUUUAAGAACUUGCUUCAGUCACUGUACUACUGCACAUUGUAACUACUUUUGGAGGAAUGUUUUAUUCUAAUUCUGAUUCUGAUGUUUUUCAGGAACUGCCAGGUCAGAAUGUCUGAGAAGAUCAAGUGUGCUACAACACCGAUAAUGACAAGCAGGAUACAUUGGAAAGCUGGAUUUCUUUUAAUAAUGUGACCAAACCCAUUUGGCAUUGAGGACAAUACUGAAGACUAAAGAAACAAAGGAAGGAGCAGUCUCAGAAGAAAGAGUGGCUGAAGGACGAAGGAGUAAUGUGGCAGCUUGAGGGAGGACACUAGGAAGUAAAGGUGGCGGCAGCAGCAUACAGGAUGCAGUGAGGAUUAGUGUGGCAACUCCAGGGAGGACACAAGACAGUGAGAGCAACAGCGGCAUUGCAGGAAGAAUUUUGAGACAAUAGCAGUCCUGUCCAACAAUGGAUAUGAGUAUGCAAUAUACCAUCUAAAGCUAAGUGUUUUAAGAACUUGCUUCAGUCACUGUACUACUGCACAUCGUAACUACUUUUGAAUGAAUAUUUUAAGCUAAUUCUGAUUUUGAUGUUUUUCAGGAAGCGCCAGGUCAGAAUGUCUGAGAAGAUCAAGUGUGCUACAACACCGAUAAGGACAAGCUGGAUACAUUGGAAAGCUGGAUUUCUUUUAAUAAUGUGACCAAACCCAUUUGGCAUGUAGGACAAUACUGAAGACUAAAGAAGCAAAUGAAGAACCACAUUGAAGCAGUAGAGGGUGUCCAGCCUGUAUGCAAUGUCAGAUCCAGCGGCUAGAUGUCGGGAGCUGCUUCACUACACAGCUCAUUGCAUUAAUUAAUUUCAUUUAUUUAAAAUUUAGUUUUAUCAUAUUAAAUAAUUGGUUUCUAUAUA